GACGAACGCUGGCGGCGUGCUUAACACAUGCAAGUCGAACGGAAAGGCCCUGCUUUUGUGGGGUGCUCGAGUGGCGAACGGGUGAGUAACACGUGAGUAACCUGCCCUUGACUUUGGGAUAACUUCAGGAAACUGGGGCUAAUACCGGAUAGGAGCUCCUGCUGCAUGGUGGGGGGGGGAAAGUUUCGGCGGGUGGGGAUGGACUCGCGGCUUAUCAGCUUGUUGGUGGGGUAGUGGCUUACCAAGGCUUUGCCGGGUAGCCGGCCUGAGAGGGUGACCGGCCACAUUGGGACUGAGAUACGGCCCAGACUCCUACGGGAGGCAGCAGUGGGGAAUAUUGCACAAUGGGCGGAAGCCUGAUGCAGCAACGCCGCGUGCGGGAUGACGGCCUUCGGGUUGUAAACCGCUUUCGCCUGUGACGAAGCGUGAGUGACGGUAAUGGGUAAAGAAGCACCGGCUAACUACGUG
rnacentral:rRNA from 1 species